rnacentral:rRNA from 1 species
AUGGAUCGGUCCCUGCAGGAGAGAGAAGAUGGGAGAGAGGGAGAGAAGGAAGGAGAGGAGGGAGGCCCGGCGGCGGACGGGAGAGGGUCACCGACCGGCGCUGGCGAGGUCAGGUGCGACCUGGUGGUUGGUGGCGGCUCGAUCCACUCCUGGAUCCUUCUUCUUCCACUUCCCCACUGCCUAACACCUAGGAAGAGGGCUGGCCGAGGAAGAGGGCGAGGACGCGGGGAUUGA